rnacentral:tRNA from 1 species
GCUAAGUUAGUUUAAUUGAUAAGAAUUUUUAAUUUGUAAUUAAAAGGUUAAGUUAGUU